GAUGAACGCUGGCGGCGUGCCUAACACAUGCAAGUCGAGCGAACGGACGAGACGCUUGCUUUUCUGAUGUUAGCGGCGGACGGGUGAGUAACACGUGGAUAACCUACCUAUAAGACUGGGAUAACUUCGGGAAACCGGAGCUAACACCGGAUAAUAUUUUGAACCGCAUGGUUCAAAAGUGAAAGACGGACUUGCUGUCACUUAUAGAUGGAUCCGCGCUGCAUUAGCUAGUUGGUAAGGUAACGGCUUACCAAGGCAACGAUGCAUGGCCGACCUGAGAGGGUGAUCAGCCACACUGGAACUGAGACACGGUCCAGACUCCUACGGGAGGCAGCAGUAGGGAAUCUUCCGCAAUGGGCGAAAGCCUGACGGAGCAACGCCGCGUGAGUGAUGAAGGUCUUCGGAUCGUAAAGCUCUGUUAUUAGGGAAGAACAUAAGUGUAAGUAACUGUGCACAUCUUGACGGUACCUAAUCAGAAAGCCCCGGCUAACUACGUG
rnacentral:rRNA from 1 species